rnacentral:lncRNA from 1 species
AAAAAAAAAAAAUCUAAUUAAAGAUAUUAUAGUAAUUUUAAAUUCAUAAAAUGUUGAAAAGACUUCACAUAUAUACAUUAUAUAUAGAAUUGAGCUCCUAUGCUUUUAAAAGUGCCAAGUUGUUGGUGCUUGUAGAUUUUUUACCAUUGGAUUAAGGAAUGUGUGGUUAGGAUGAUGUGGGCCCCAUAGGGUUGAGUGAGUGGUUGGUUGAAUAGUAUAAUCUAACGGCUGAAAAUGAUUAAAGGCGUAGAUCUAAUGGUAUAAAAUUUACAAGUAUCAAGUGCUUGGUGCUUUUAAGCACCUUAGCCGGACUCUUUUAUAUAUAUAUAUAUAUAUAUAUAGAAUUAGGCUACUAUACUAUCUAUAGUACCGAGCUCCGGUACUAUAGUGUUUGUUUUCGAUCUUAGGGCGUUCAAAUCAACGAUCCACACCGUUAAAUAUGAUCUAGGGUAUAUGAAUUUCUUAGGAAUUCGAUAUCGUNUAUAUAUAUAUAUAUAUAUGAGUGCGUCUGGUAUGCUUCUGGAAGCACAGAGCGCUCCGUGCUUCCAAGUCGUUUUUGAUGUUGGGACUUUCGAAUCGAUGAUCAGCUCUGUUAGAUUUGAUCUAGAGUAUUUUAAGUAUCUAGAAAAUAAAUUUGCGAUUUUUUGAUAUCAUUUGCUUAGUGAUCGAAGUGGCUCAAAAUCAACGGCUGAAAAUAAAAAUCUUACAAAAUAUGAUGAUAUAACAUUAAAAUUUUAGAUCAAAAAUAUUGAUCUUAUUUUAUAUAGUAUAAAGAAUUUUCUAUCAAAAUUUUAUGUGAUUUGGAUAUUUCUAUACCGUUAAACUUGCAAACAGCUCAUCACGACCAUCAAAAUUAUUGAUUUUGAUAUAAAAAAAUCACAAAAUUUAUUUUCUAGAUACUUCAAAUACUCUAGAUCAAAUAUAACGGAGCCGAUCAUCGAUUCGAAAGUCCCAACAUCGAAAACGACUUGGAAGCACGGAAGGCUUCGUGCUUACCAUGGA